rnacentral:rRNA from 1 species
UGGGGAAUAUUGGACAAUGGGGGGAACCCUGAUCCAGCAAUGCCGCGUGUGUGAAGAAGGCCUGAGGGUUGUAAAGCACUUUUAGUGGGGAGGAGGGAAGUUAGGUUAAGAGCUAGACUGACGGACGUUACCCACAGAAACAGCACCGGCUAACUCCGUGCCAGCAGCCGCGGUAAUACGGAGGGUGCAAGCGUUAAUCGGAAUUACUGGGCGUAAAGGGUGCGUAGGUUGUUGAAUAAGUUAGCUGUGAAAUUCCUGGGCUUAACCUGGGCACUGCAGCUAAUACUGUUUAACUAGAGUAUGGGAGAGGGUAGUGGAAUUUCCGGUGUAGCGGUGAAAUGCGUAGAGAUCGGAAGGAACACCAGUGGCGAAGGCGGCUACCUGGCCUAAUACUGACACUGAGGCACGAAAGCGUGGGGAGCAAACAGGAUUAGAUACCCGCGUAGUCC